GUCAAAACAUAAACGUAUUUCAAAAGAUACUAAAAAACAUUCGGCUUGCGAUCGCGAGACAGGCUACAGUAAAUUUUUGGAGGCUGUGUUUAGAUCUUGUCCUACUAAUUUAUUUUCUGUUUCUGCGCGUCUAAAAGCCACAAACCAUAAAGCCGACACAAGACAAAGCUAUAGUCACAAGCUAAACAGAACGAGCAAAGUUGUAAUAUAAGAAGAUAUUUCGGAGAUUCCUGCAUGGUCCAGAGCCAGACAAAGAAGGAGUCUCCCCCAAAUCGGGCUGGCAAUUGCCUUGCAGCAAAGCCAUCAACAAAACAAGACAAGACAAGACAAGAUACUAAAAAAAAAUAAAAAAAUGUGGCAAAAAAAACAAAACAAUACCCGUUGUCAGGCGCCAAUUUGUUAAAUAAAAAAAAUAAAAAUAAAGAAUUAAUAAUUAUAAUUAAUCAAUAAAAAUUUAAUACUUUAA